rnacentral:pre_miRNA from 1 species
ACACACAUCACCUGGGGAUCUUGUUAGAAUGCUGAUCGCCAUUCAGUAGGUCUGGGUGGGGCCUGGCAGUCUGCAUUUCUAACAAGUUCCCAGUGAUGGUUAU